GACGAACGCUGGCGGCGUGCUUAACACAUGCAAGUCGAACGGAAAGGCCCUGCUUUUGUGGGGUGCUCGAGUGGCGAACGGGUGAGUAACACGUGAGUAACCUGCCCUUGACUUUGGGAUAACUUCAGGAAACUGGGGCUAAUACCGGAUAGGAGCUCCUGCUGCAUGGUGGGGGUUGGAAAGUUUCGGCGGUUGGGGCUGGACUCGCGGCUUAUCAGCUUGUUGGUGGGGUAGUGGCUUACCAAGGCUUUGACGGGUAGCCGGCCUGAGAGGGUGACCGGCCACAUGGGGACUGAGAGACGGCCCAGACUCCUACGGGAGGCAGCAGUGGGGAAUAUUGCACAAUGGGCGGAAGCCUGAUGCAGCAACGCCGCGUGCGGGAUGACGGCCUUCGGGGUGUAAACCGCUUUCGCCUGUGACGAAGCGUGAGUGACGGUAAUGGGUAAAGAAGCACCGGCUAACUACGUG
rnacentral:rRNA from 1 species